UGAGUCCAACACCGGUUCCACCACUUACUGUCCGUGGGACCCUCAGACUUCUCAGAACCUCCAGGAAGCUGCCAUACAAGCAAAUCGCUCAUGGGGCUGUGUGUUUGUGUGUGUCAGUCUACUGUGUUUCCCAAAGAAGUUUGACCUCAAAGGACUUUUUCCACAGAACAUCUCACAGAGUGAAGAGGAGCCAGCAAGCUUCCAUUGUUUUCCACUAUCCUCAGG